UUAAAAGUUCUAUGCAAUCAUCUGCUCCACCUGAAAUUUGCCUCUAUAUCUUCACAAUGCCAUUCCAGCUGUGAAAGUAAUGUUAGUAGUCCCUGUUUCUAAAAAGCAAUUGUGGAGCCAGUCUUGUAAGCUACAAGUUUUUGAGAAUGGCAAUGAGUCACAAGAGCUCUGGAAAAGCUAGAAGAAGAGAGACUAAAGUUAUCAACCCUGAAGCACUGAAUCAUCUAUAUUUCAUCUACAGAAACAUAGAUGCAAAGCACUACCACCUGCUUCUUAAUUCAGUUGUCUUCAGAGCAAGUCCACCAAGGCAGAAUGUAACAUCACAGUUAACAUCAGGAGACAGAGGUAGUCUGGGGUUUGGAUGGAACCAUAAAAAGAUGAAAAAGUCAUUCAGUUGGUUCAUCAUCUCUGCCAUUUCAAGUCAAAUUGACUAAUCCAGCACCUACCUUCAAUUUAAAAAACAAAAACAAAAAAUGUUAAACUGACAAAACAUAGUUCUCAUUCUUUCUUCAAUAAUAGUAGAAGAUUCUUCUAGCCCUUCAGAAAUGAAACUAUUGGGACUGUGAAUUGUCCUUCCUCUGUGCAUAGAUAUUAAUAUGCAGAAUUGUCUCAGUCAAAGCCAGUAACCUAUUUUUAAGAGACCUGCACAAGGAAUGACUGCAAUGCUCUAUCAAUAUCCAUUUUGAUUACAAUAUUUUUGGUAACUCUAUGUUGUUCUAUCAAAAGUAGCUUUCUUUAUUAUUAUUAUUUAAAGAAUAUCUCCAGCUAUGCAAUAUAUUGUUGUUUUAAGGUUUUGAUAAAGUUUUGAAUGACCAGUUUUAUAUUGAUGAGAACCUAGGUGAAUUUGCAAGAUAAAUUAGUGUUUAAAAACAACAACAAAAAAAGUCAUUUCCUUGAAACUGUUUCUAUUAAGCUGCAUCACAAGUCUAUAUAAGGGUAAAAAUAGAAAAUCUGUACAACCUUUACUGAGAGUUGGCAUUAAAAGACUGAGUAUCAGUGUAAAUGUUAUAACAGGGCAUUGUGCUAAUGUAGUUAGCCAAGAACCAACAUUUUCAAGCUAACUGGAAGAAUAUGUUAUAUGCUAGUGUGAUUUAUGCUUAUUUUACAUGUGAUUUGUGCUAUUAUGCUUAAAGGAGAUGGGGCAUAUAAAUGUUUUACUUCUUUUUCAUCAUUGCCCACCUGGAGUUUUGGAGGAUAAGCUUGAUACUAUUUAAAUGAAUCUAUGUCAUCUGACUAGGAUUUUUAAGUCCUUUGUUGGCUGGGUUUCACAUGUUUUCUUUAUCUUUUCUUACCCUAUACAUCAACUAACUUGGGUUAUAUUCUUUAUCCUGGUGCUGAUGGGAUAUUACCUGUAAUUUCACUCCAGUGGUUCCAUGAUUACAGAAUUCUUUGAGAUGCAAAGACAGUUAUGGGUGUAAAGAACUAUGCAUUCAAUGAAACUUGGAAUUGAAGAAUUGCUGCAUUUAUGCUUUAAAACUUAUGAAUGGGAAACAGUCCCAGAACACAGAAAGCAUUUUAGAUAUGUUGGAAGAAAAAAAAAAAGCACAUCAAUUAUACAACCUGUAAUCAGUAUGAACAGUUUAUAUACUCAGUGUAUCUAAUUCAUGUUUGUGUAAAGUAUUUGUCCAUUGGCAUUGUUUUCUACUGUAAUGUAGUAAUACUAUUAAGUAUUUGGGGAAUUACAGCAUCUAUGAAAUGGUAAAGGAAAGAAUUCACUCUGAACUCGCACAAAGUGGAGGAUCUAGUUGUGUGGCAGCUGUUUCGUGUGAAUUUUUAUAGGUUUGAGAAGUUAAGUGUUUAAAUUCAAAUAAGAAAUAUGAAGAUUAUUUCUCAUAAGUAACUUAACUUAGUCUCCCUUAGUCAAAUGUUGUGAGCCUUACAAAUGUCUGUGUUUCGCUACAAUGAAGGUAUUCUUGUUCACAUGGCAGAAGACUACUCUUUCAACUUGAAAGGCAGAGAAUGAUUGGCUGUGUGGAGUAGGCUGUUUGUCCCCCGUCCCCAAUAGCUACUGUUUGCAUGUGACAUUGGACUCAUUCAGUAUGAUUCUGAUGCCUCUCAAGCAAGUGAAAUCUUGAGAUUCAAUGAGUAUGAGAAGUGUUAUUUUGCUUAACGUUUCUCUCUUGAAAGCAUACUGUAGUAUUAUGUGAUGUGUAAUGUUAGAUGGUAUUGUAUGCUCAACUUAAAAACCUAAUGGCAGCAUCUGUUUACAGUCACUCCACUAUGAUAGUAUCUGUGAUACUACUGAGUUCUGCAUGAUAUAUAAAACACUACUGUGUUUUUCGUGCAUAUUGCAUAGAAGUGAUGAUGCACAAAUACUUAAUAAAGUCUUUCUUCUCAAA